GAGGAAGAAGAAAUAUUAAAUUCGAGUUGCGUACGAGGCACCCAGGGGGCCGGGAGGUGUGGCUGAGUGGCGGGCUCCGGGGCAGAGCGCUCGGGCGGGUCUGCGGUGGCAUUUCUGGAGGCCCCAGGCCUGCAGCCCAGCGGGAGGAAGCGGCCUGCAGACACAGCCGGCCCAGCGGACCCUGCAGAAGCCGCGGCCCAGCCCAGAGGAAGUGAGCCGCCCGGCCUCUGCCUCCUGGGGCCCUGCAGCCCCCUGCUGAUCUGGGGAACCUGGAACCUGCCUCUGUGAGGAGCCCGGGCACCGUUUCAGCUCCGUGACCCUGGUUUCCUUGUGUGGAGGAAGCAGCCAGGACCGGCAAGGAGAAUGGAAGAUGACCCCCUCUACCUCCUGCUGCAGUUCCCUAAGGGGGCGGGCCCUCCGGCAGAGCAGGAAGAACUCCUGCAAGGAGAAAAGAAGAAAUUCCUGCCCCCCACGUCCCGGGAGGACCCCAAAUUUGAAGAAUUGCAAAAGGCGCUGAUGGAGUGGGUCAACGCCGAGCUCCUGCCAGAGCACAUUGUGGUUCGGAGCCUGGAGGAGGACAUGUUUGAUGGGCUCAUCCUGCACCACCUUUUCCAGAAGCUGGCGGGGAUCAAACUGGACGUGGAGGAGAUCGCCUUGACUGCCGUGAGCCAGAGGCGCAAGCUGGAGGCCGUCCUGGAGGCCACCAACCUCAGCCUGCAGGGGGACGACAAGCAGCCGGUCAAGUGGAGCGUGGACGCCAUCUUCAACAAGGACCUGCUGGCCACCCUGCAUCUCCUCGUGGCUCUGGCCAAGCGCUUCCAGCCCAGCCUGCCCCUCCCCACCAAUGUCCAGGUGGAGGUGAUCACCCUGGAGAGCACCAAGAGCGGCCUGAAGUCAGAGAAGUCCGUGGAGCAGCUCACCGAGUGCAGCACAGACAAGGACCAGCCUUCAAAAGACGUCUUUGAUGAGUUAUUCAGGCUGGCCCCGGGGAAAGUGAAGGCCGUGAAAGAGGCCAUCACCACCUUCAUCAACCAGAAGCUGGAGGGCCUGGGCCUGUCUGUGCAGGACCUGGACACACAGUUGGCAGAUGGAGUCAUCUUACUCCUGCUGAUUGGACACCUGGAAGGCUUCUUCCUGCACUUGAAGGAAUUCUACCUCACGCCCAGCUCCCCUGCGGAAAUGCGAGGGACAAGUGUCCCCAUGCAGCCUACUGGCCGAAACCACAGUUUUGGAACGAGCUGCUGAAGACGAGCCACGGUAAACGUGGGGGGAAGAAGCAGCCCCUUAGCUCCGACCCCAGGUGUGGACGUGGUUGGCGGGUAUUGGAAACCUCAGCUGCAGGGACAUGGGACAGAAGUGCUGAGCUCGUCAGACGUCGAAGGGGCGGGACACCGAGGAACUGUCACCCUGGCAGAGCGGCCUGGGGAAGUCGGGCUGGUCCUGCUCAGGCCUUCCUUGCUGACAGUGUUCGCGAGAGACGGCUGUUCGGUGCGGCGGUGGGAGACCGAUUGUCUGCGCUGCAGACAUCACAGCACAGAGCCAGGAGACGUUCGCUUCCACCCACGUUCAGUUAUGUGUCUGCUGAGGACGAGCGCCUCCCCCACCCCGCCCCCAUCGUGACCUCCCCUCAGCUCAGCGGAGCUCAGCAUUUUUACCUUGGUCAUCUCCCACGGUGCGAGGAGGGAAAGUGAUGCUUUGGGCAGAGUGUGGUGAGAUGCUUCUGGGGCCCAGAGCCCGGGGCAGCUCCGCCUGCUUCAGGCUGCGCACCGUUGGAGUGACAGACCGAGUGACAGACAGCACUGCGUGUGGCCCUUCUGGGGUGGCGCUAACACUGAUGCUGGGACCACCAGCUUCGGGGCAGGAGCAGGUCGGCUGUGCCCAAGGCAAGGCCAGUGCAGAGUCGACGCUCUACCCGCACUUUGGAAAUAAGUGAGGGAACCAAGUGUCUCCCAGACAGAGGUCUCCUGAGGGGCCGUGACAGAUGGACACAAUGGUGAAACAAGUCAGGAGAGAACACGCAUCGUCUUGAAGGUUCCUGAUCCACCGUAACGUGUCCGAGGCUCUGGGAAGGCCCGAGGAGGGUACUUCACGCUGCUCUGCUCACACCAGCGUCCCCCCGACAGUCCAGGCACAGACGCUUGCCCGGCUCCUGCCGGCAGAGGCAGGGCUGUGAGGCCGGAGAGCUCGGUGGCUCCUUCUGGCUCCGACCACCUGACUUCCGUGCGUUCUGUGAAGAGGGUUUGUGAGGAUGUGGACAAGAGCACUGCAACCCUCAUUUUCCAGAAUCUUCCCAUCUGGGGAGAAGACUCGGGGACACAGAUACAGCAUGGGGUGGGAGUGCAGCUCGGAUCUGUUCACUCGGAGAUGCCCUUCCUCCCCAGAGGUGUGGCCACCCCUGCUUGGGACCCUGUGGUAGCUUUUGUUUCUUCUCCUUGACCGACUAUAAAGGGGACAGCCCUGCGGGGCCAGGCCCCUGCCCCCCCCCCCCGCACCCUCUUCCAUCCUGGACCAACCCCGGCUCAGCUGCUCUGUCCAUCUGAUGCUCCAACACCAACUGUCCCCAGUGGAGAAGGACCUGCUCACCGUACCUUCCAGAUCCCAAGGAAGGGCCCCCUCCUGGCACCGUGAAGCCCUGCCCUGAGCCAGCUGCCAGGAGGACACCAGCCCUGUGCCCCAGGACACAGCGGGAGCCCUGGGGGCGGGAAGAAGACACUCCCUGGACUCUGCCCGGUGCCCCCGGCCCGGGACUGUGAGCCACGCCCUCAUCUCCCUGGGGUUUGUCUUUUCCCAGCAGCUUUGAGUGCUCCUGCCCAUCCCACCCCCGGCCCCUGAAGGAGCCCCCACCCAGGGAUGUGCGGGGCAGCCUUAGUCCAGGCGAGGCCCCCGCUGUGCCUUCCUCUCCCCACCUUCAGAUCCUGUGCUGUGCCUUCCAGUCCUUCUGUUGAAGACCCAGCUGGCAGCCCUGGAGCGGCAGGCCGCCAGCUCCAGGCUGGGUCCACAGACCCAGCUGGAAGGUGCACAACGUCACCCUGGCCCUGGAGCUGCUGAAGAGCGAAGGCCUGCUCGACUGCCCUGUCAGUGCCGAAGCCAUCGUCAACAAGGA